AGCGAACGCUGGCGGCAGGCUUAACACAUGCAAGUCGAGCGGGCGUAGCAAUACGUCAGCGGCAGACGGGUGAGUAACGCGUGGGAACAUACCUUUUGGUUCGGAACAACACAGGGAAACUUGUGCUAAUACCGGAUAAGCCCUUACGGGGAAAGAUUUAUCGCCGAAAGAUUGGCCCGCGUCUGAUUAGCUAGUUGGUGAGGUAAUGGCUCACCAAGGCGACGAUCAGUAGCUGGUCUGAGAGGAUGAUCAGCCACAUUGGGACUGAGACACGGCCCAAACUCCGACGGGAGGCAGCAGUGGGGAAUAUUGGACAAUGGGGGCAACCCUGAGCCAGCCAUGCCGCGUGAGUGAUGAAGGCCCUAGGGUUGUAAAGCUCUUUUGUGCGGGAAGAUAAUGACGGUACCGCAAGAAUAAGCCCCGGCUAACUUCGUGCCAGCCGCCGCCGUAAUAC
rnacentral:rRNA from 1 species